UUAGUUAAGUUCCUUAUGGACCUGGGAAGCUGAUAUUUUUCUUCAGAAUUCUUUUGUACAUGCUGAUAACUCACUUCACUGAAUAUUUUCAGAACUUUCAGGAUCAAGUCUAUUUUGCACCUUAUCCUGGUUUUCAGAAGUUUGAAUCUGCUUGGUAUUCUGGAAGAGUACAAGGUACCCUGAGCAAGCGUGUCAUCCAUUAAGCAUGUAUCCAUAAGAAAAUGAAGAAGAGGCAAAGGACCAAAGAAGAGCUAUUGGGGAAAUUGGUUAAAUGUACUGGAGUAUGU